rnacentral:rRNA from 1 species
UACGAAGGGGGCUAGCGUUGCUCGGAAUCACUGGGCGUAAAGGGUGCGUAGGCGGGUUAUUAAGUCAGAGGUGAAAUCCUGGAGCUCAACUCCAGAACUGCCUUUGAUACUGAUAGUCUUGAGUACGGGAGAGGUGAGUGGAACUGCGAGUGUAGAGGUGAAAUUCGUAGAUAUUCGCAAGAACACCAGUGGCGAAGGCGGCUCACUGGCCCGAUACUGACGCUGAGGUGCGAAAAGCGUGGGGGAGCAAACAGGG